rnacentral:rRNA from 1 species
UACGUAGGGUGCGAGCGUUGUCCGGAAUUAUUGGGCGUAAAGAGCUCGUAGGCGGUCUGUCGCGUCGGUCGUGAAAACUUGGGGCUUAACCCUGAGCUUGCGGUCGAUACGGGCAUGACUGGAGUUCGGUAGGGGAGACUGGAAUUCCUGGUGUAGCGGUGAAACGCGCAGAUAUCAGGAGGAACACCGGUGGCGAAGGCGGGUCCCUGGGACGGUACUGACGCUGAGACGCGAAAGCGUGGGGAGCGAACAGG